UAGAGUUUGAUCAUGGCUCAGAACGAACGCUGGCGGCAUGCCUAACACAUGCAAGUCGAACGUGAUCCAUGACUUCGGUUGUGGUGAAAGUGGCAAACGGGUGAGUAACGCGUGGGAACCUGCCCAGAGGUAGGGAAUAACCGUGGGAAACUGCGGCUAAUACCCUAUGUGCCCUACGGGGCAAAGAUUUAUCGCCUUUGGAGGGGCCCGCGUCGGAUUAGGUAGUUGGUAGGGUAACGGCCUACCAAGCCUACGAUCCGUAGCUGGUCUGAGAGGAUGAUCAGCCACACUGGGACUGAGAUACGGCCCAGACUCCUACGGGAGGCAGCAGUGGGGAAUAUUGGACAAUGGGGGCAACCCUGRUCCMRCMAWKSCSSSKKRRKKRAKGAAGGCCUUCGGGUUGUAAACCCCUUUCAGGAGGGACGAAGGUUCACCGGUGAAUAGCCGUGUGGAUUGACGGUACCUCCAGAAGAAGCUCCGGCUAACUACGUGCCAGCCGCCGCGGWAAUUC
rnacentral:rRNA from 1 species